AGAUUUUGAGAACUGAACUUAUGUCCUUUUCAGAAGCAGCCAGUGCUCCUAGUCACUGGGCUUUCUCUCCAGUCCUUGUUUUGUUCUGUUUUGUUUCAGGUGGGACUAGAACUGGCUGCUGGCUGCUCUAAGUGUCCUUGUUCUUGCCGACAUAGGAUGUUUUCUGUGCACUUCUGUAUCCUGUUGCAGCUUUUAGGAAGUUACAAGCUUUUGCCAAGAAGAUGGGUGAAUCGAUACAACUUGAAAACAUAAGAUACUUGGAUCCCCUGUCCAUGAAAACCAGGAUAGACACUGACAUCAGAAUGCCUGCCAUCAAGAAGAAGGAAAGAGGAAGAAGAAUUAAAGACUACAGAGAAUGAUAAUAGUAAAUGAUCCAAUGUUAAUAAACCACACUAAUCAUA